UGAACGCUGGCGGCAGGCCUAACACAUGCAAGUCGAGCGGUAGCACAGAGAGCUUGCUCUCGGGUGACGAGCGGCGGACGGGUGAGUAAUGUCUGGGAAACUGCCUGAUGGAGGGGGAUAACUACUGGAAACGGUAGCUAAUACCGCAUAACGUCGCAAGACCAAAGUGGGGGACCUUCGGGCCUCAUGCCAUCAGAUGUGCCCAGAUGGGAUUAGCUAGUAGGUGGGGUAACGGCUCACCUAGGCGACGAUCCCUAGCUGGUCUGAGAGGAUGACCAGCCACACUGGAACUGAGACACGGUCCAGACUCCUACGGGAGGCAGCAGUGGGGAAUAUUGCACAAUGGGCGCAAGCCUGAUGCAGCCAUGCCGCGUGUGUGAAGAAGGCCUUCGGGUUGUAAAGCACUUUCAGCGGGGAGGAAGGCGAUAAGGUUAAUAACCUUGUCGAUUGACGUUACCCGCAGAAGAAGCACCGGCUAACUCCGUGCCAGCAGCCGCGGUAAUACGGAGGGUGCAAGCGUUAAUCGGAAUUACUGGGCGUAAAGCGCACGCAGGCGGUCUGUCAAGUCGGAUGUGAAAUCCCCGGGCUCAACCUGGGAACUGCAUUCGAAACUGGCAGGCUAGAGUCUUGUAGAGGGGGGUAGAAUUCCAGGUGUAGCGGUGAAAUGCGUAGAGAUCUGGAGGAAUACCGGUGGCGAAGGCGGCCCCCUGGACAAAGACUGACGCUCAGGUGCGAAAGCGUGGGGAGCAAACAGGAUUAGAUACCCUGGUAGUCCACGCCGUAAACGAUGUCGAUUUGGAGGUUGUGCCCUUGAGGCGUGGCUUCCGGAGCUAACGCGUUAAAUCGACCGCCUGGGGAGUACGGCCGCAAGGUUAAAACUCAAAUGAAUUGACGGGGGCCCGCACAAGCGGUGGAGCAUGUGGUUUAAUUCGAUGCAACGCGAAGAACCUUACCUGGUCUUGACAUCCACAGAACUUAGCAGAGAUGCUUUGGUGCCUUCGGGAACUGUGAGACAGGUGCUGCAUGGCUGUCGUCAGCUCGUGUUGUGAAAUGUUGGGUUAAGUCCCGCAACGAGCGCAACCCUUAUCCUUUGUUGCCAGCGGUUAGGCCGGGAACUCAAAGGAGACUGCCAGUGAUAAACUGGAGGAAGGUGGGGAUGACGUCAAGUCAUCAUGGCCCUUACGACCAGGGCUACACACGUGCUACAAUGGCAUAUACAAAGAGAAGCGACCUCGCGAGAGCAAGCGGACCUCAUAAAGUAUGUCGUAGUCCGGAUUGGAGUCUGCAACUCGACUCCAUGAAGUCGGAAUCGCUAGUAAUCGUAGAUCAGAAUGCUACGGUGAAUACGUUCCCGGGCCUUGUACACACCGCCCGUCACACCAUGGGAGUGGGUUGCAAAAGAAGUAGGUAGCUUAACCUUCGGGAGGGCGCUUACCACUUUGUGAUUCAUGA
rnacentral:rRNA from 3 species